rnacentral:misc_RNA from 1 species
GAUGAAGAACGUAGCGAAAUGCGAUAAGUAGUGUGAAUUGCAGAAUUCAGUGAAUCAUCGAAUCUUUGAACGCACAUUGCGCCCCAUGGUAUUCCGUGGGGCAUGCCUGUUCGAGCGUCAUUUCACCACUCAAGCCUGGCUUGGUGUUGGGCGACGUCCCCUUUGGGGACGCGCCUCGAAACGCUCGGCGGCGUGGCACCGGCUUUAAGCGUAGCAGAAUCUUUCGCUUUGGAAGUCGGGGCCCCGUCUGCCGGAAGACCUACUCGCAAGGUUGACCUCGGAUCAGGCAGGGAUACCCGCUGAACUUAAGCAUAUCAAUAAGCGGAGGA